ensembl:lincRNA B130046B21Rik RIKEN cDNA B130046B21 gene
CUCGGUCUCCUUGGCCUCCCGCUCCUGCGACGCCGCCUUUCUUUUCUCUUGUUCCCGGGCUCGGACCUCGGCGGGGGGGCCCGCCCGCCAGUUGGUUGCCUCCUGCAGCACCCUGGAGGCCCAGGGUCGGCGGGGUGGCGGCUCAGGGGAUCCCGGGCGCAGCCUACACCUGGGACAAUGAGCAGGAACCCAGGGCUUCUUCUCUCCACCCGUGAGCACCAGAGCCUGUAAGAUGUCAGACAGCGAAACGAUGCCCUUGACCACGUCUUGUUCAUCCACCACCACCAGACGGUGAACCUGGCCCAGAGGAACAGCAAGUAACGUCAGUGCCAGCUCCAGUUCGGGUAAGGCGGAGACUCGGUGCUGUACAAAGAUGCCCAGAGCCACGUAGACAGGCGUGGUAGUACGGACCAUGGCAAUAUUGGCAUAGGUGCCAAUCUGCAGCUCUUGGAGAGACUUAGACAUGAAUUCCGGCUUGGGGAACUCGGUGAUCUGAGGAAGGGGGCAUUGGCUUGCAGGUGCUUUCCGGAUAGAGCAGGAGGUGCUACGCUCAAUCAUCAACACCAACACCGCUCCUCUGUCCCCAAACCGCUCUGUGUGUGUCUGCAGUUCAGCACGUAAUCGGAUGAUGGCCUGAGGUUACUUACAAACAACUUGAGGAACUUGAGGAUCCGCUUGUGAGUAAGGAUGUACAAGGUGUUGCCUGACUCUGGGUCGAUAACUGGGAGCCUGUGGAUCUUAUUUCGAAUUAAUGAAGAGACAGCAUCAAACAAGCUGCGAAAAAGUAGAAGAUCAUAGUUAGGUUCCACGGGGCUAACGCCAGGCUGUACAACCCCUUGGAAUGUGUUUACAGUCAGAAAAAACCCACGGUCAGCACUGUGUGUGGCUGGGCAUGAACUGGUAACGCCUGCACUGGGGCAAACAGAAGAGUCUAAGUUCACGACAGCCUCAACUCUACAGUAAGAGCAAGGCCAGUCUCGGCUGUGUGAGACUUUUUUUUUUUUCUCAAACACACACAGCAUGGCAGUGUGCAUGAGGAGGGGUCCUUCUUCUCUCCUCUCUCAUGCCCCUGAGGUAAACACAAACACACACAGCAUGGCAGUGUGCAUGAGGAGGGGUCCUUCUUCUCUCCUCUCUCAUGCCCCUGAGGUAAACACAAACACACACAGCAUGGCAGUGUGCAUGAGGAGGGUCUUUCUUCUCUCCUCUCUCAUGCCCCUGAGAUAAACACAAAACCAGUACUUACCUGGCAUUUGGAGAGAUGCAGACAAGUGGCUUAAAGGAGUCCUGCAGGUACACCUCUGAAGAGAACAAAACACUGCCACGUGAGUGUCGCCCAGGACACCUCCAUCCCUCAUCUGCCACCCCCACCCAUACCUCUCCACGUCUCUAUCUUGUGCUCCUCCAGUUCGUAGAUCUGCACCUAGAAGCAGAAGCAGCAGCUCUGAACCUCAUGCUCCCCUCGUCAUUAACUCACGGAGCUUUGCUCGCAGGGGAAAACCAGGCACAAUGGACCCCAGGCAGGGCCGUGGUUUUGGCUGGGAGACUCAGGCUCCUUACCAGGGCUGACUUAUAGUAUCGGUGCAAAAUGUUGAUGAAGUCGGUGAUGGUCAGCAUGCCUAGACAAGAGCCAAGAAGAGGGCCUCAGCUCAGCCUGUCCGAGGCUUUUCCCCUCGCCCGGCAACACAUGCCAGUAACCGUAUCCCAGAAACUCCUGCUUACCCACAAAACUCUGCUUCUUACUGUCCCACAAAGGGGCGGCACGAACACCAUUGGUCACCAGGGCAAAAAAGGCUUUCUUUACCUAUGGCCAAGAGAGUAACCUCCUAAGGAGAUCCAUAGAGGGCACAGCUUCGAGGAAGAGCAGGGUUGGUGUGUGGGGAAAUAUGACGAAUGCUGACAGGCCUUGGACCAGCGCAGGAGGAAGGGCUCUACCCACCUGUAGCGAAGUGUCAAAUACCACCAACUUGGAACUUGUGGGAAUUAGGUCAUAGCAGCGAUGAGACUUCAUGAAGGAAGUAUACACACUAUUGUUUGAUUCCGGGGUCUCUGCACAGAGUGAAAAAGUUGGUGUGUUUCUUUUAUGUAAGAAGUCACCAUCAGAAGAGACAGAAACCAAAAAUGGCUUUUGUUUUGUUCUU